AGAGUUUGAUCCUGGCUCAGGAUGAACGCUAGCGGCAGGCUUAACACAUGCAAGUCGAGGGGUAUAAGUAGCUUGCUAUUUAGAGACCGGCGCACGGGUGCGUAACGCGUAUGCAAUCUGCCUUUCACAAAGGGAUAGCCCAGAGAAAUUUGGAUUAAUACCUUAUAGUAUAUAGGAGUGGCAUCACUUUUAUAUUAAAGAUUUAUCGGUGAAAGAUGAGCAUGCGUCCCAUUAGCUAGAUGGUAAGGUAACGGCUUACCAUGGCAACGAUGGGUAGGGGUCCUGAGAGGGAGAUCCCCCACACUGGUACUGAGACACGGACCAGACUCCUACGGGAGGCAGCAGUGAGGAAUAUUGGACAAUGGGCGCAAGCCUGAUCCAGCCAUGCCGCGUGCAGGAUGAAGCAUCUAUGGUGUGUAAACUGCUUUUAUACGGGAAGAAACCCCGCCUCGUGAGGCGGAUUGACGGUACCGUAAGAAUAAGGACCGGCUAACUCCGUGCCAGCAGCCGCGGUAAUACGGAGGGUCCAAGCGUUAUCCGGAAUCAUUGGGUUUAAAGGGUCCGUAGGCGGGCCAGUAAGUCAGUGGUGAAAUCUCCCCGCUCAACGGGGAAACGGCCAUUGAUACUGCUGGUCUUGAAUUAUUAGGAAGUAACUAGAAUAUGUAGUGUAGCGGUGAAAUGCUUAGAGAUUACAUGGAAUACCAAUUGCGAAGGCAGGUUACUACUAAUGGAUUGACGCUGAUGGACGAAAGCGUGGGUAGCGAACAGGAUUAGAUACCCUGGUAGUCCACGCCGUAAACGAUGGAUACUAGCUGUUCGGUCGCAAGACUGAGUGGCUAAGCGAAAGUGAUAAGUAUCCCACCUGGGGAGUACGUUCGCAAGAAUGAAACUCAAAGGAAUUGACGGGGGCCCGCACAAGCGGUGGAGCAUGUGGUUUAAUUCGAUGAUACGCGAGGAACCUUACCAAGGCUUAAAUGUAGAUUGACAGGACUGGAAACAGUUUUUUCUUCGGACAAUUUACAAGGUGCUGCAUGGUUGUCGUCAGCUCGUGCCGUGAGGUGUCAGGUUAAGUCCUAUAACGAGCGCAACCCCUGUUGUUAGUUGCCAGCGAGUCAUGUCGGGAACUCUAACAAGACUGCCAGUGCAAACUGUGAGGAAGGUGGGGAUGACGUCAAAUCAUCACGGCCCUUACGCCUUGGGCUACACACGUGCUACAAUGGCCGGUACAGAGAGCAGCCACUGGGCGACCAGGA
rnacentral:rRNA from 1 species